rnacentral:lncRNA from 1 species
UCCUAAAUGAAGUGAGAGAUAAUGUUAUUUUGUAAUAUUUGUUAAAGUUGUUUGCUGGGUGAGAAAAAAAAAUUGCAAAUUCCUUACUGAGGGGCAUGUAUUGCUUUUUAACUACUGCAGGUCACGCUAAUGAAAUAAACGAAGCGGGUAGCGCGCUACCUAUCUCUCAAAAAAAAAAAAACUACUGCAGGUCACGCUAAU